UAUGAUUUUCCAUUAAGAAUUAUGAGGAAAUAAAAGAUGUUGUGCCAAGAAGAUGGAUAAAUACAUAAAAAAAAAAAAUACUAAUUUGGUCUUCUGGUAUAUCUUAUCAUAGAGCUGACAAUGAUGAAAUAAAUGCAGAUGAAACAUGGGACAAAUAAAAACUUAUCAAAAUAAAAUUUAAGAGUGAUAAUAUAAAUGAGCUAAAAGAAUAUGGUUACACAACAGCAGAAGAGGAGUAGGAUGAAAUAGAUAAUUGUUUUACAAGUUCUAAAGGAACAUUUGAAGUCAAAAGUAAUGUUUAUGGUAUAAUUAAGAGUUUGCUUACAAUUUAUUUUUAAUAUCAAAUGUAAAUACAAUAACAAAAAUUAAUUAUAUAGAUAUUAUAUUUUAGAGUUACCAGAUUUUCCAUUGCUUCCACCAGUUUUGCAAUCCAUACCAACAAAAUCAUUUGAUUUGAUUUUAAUUUGUCACCUGGAUCAACUAUUUUAAAACAAUCAAAUAUUUGCUCUGGCAUCUAAUAAUUAUUAAAUUAUAAAAAUUUAGAAUUAAUUCAAUUUGCAACACCUUUAAUCUAAAAUAUUUCUGGAUUCUUAUUUUUAGUAUUGCCUGACUCUUUACCUUUACACACAGAGGAACUAUCAACUUCGUAUUCUGAGUCACUGCCUUUGCCUAACUUUAUUUUACCUUCAAUUCAACUGAAAAGGAACAAUCAAAUUUUUUUACAGGUUAUUGUUUUACAUCUAAAAAAUGUUGUUUGAAAUUUUUUCUUUAAUUUUAUUUUAUUUUUUGGCAUUAGUUUCACCUCAUACUCAAGAGUUCAAAAAAAAGAAAACAAAAGAAGUACAAAAGAGCCCUUGGACCAGAGAAGUUAGUUAAAAAUCAGUUUCUUAUGGAAGUUGGAAAAUACCAGCAUAUGAUGUUCAAGAUGGUAUCAAAAAUUCUUGAAAACUAAUCUAUUAUUGCUGUAAAUAAACAACCCCAUAGUAUUUUGGCAGUUAAGUAAUUAGAGACUAUAGCAGAAUACAAAGAUUUUGUCAAAUAUUUAGAGGAUGAUUCAGUUUGCCUUGAUUUGGUUAAAAAACUGAGUUUUUUAGGCGCAGAAGAUUAUAAACAGCUGACAAGAUUGGUUAUGAAUAUAUUAUUUACAAAUACCCUAUUGGCACAGUUUAAUUUAAAAGGUUCUGGUGAAAAAAUUGGUUUAUUAUCAACGAAGCUAUAUGAUGUAAUAGAAGAAGUUGUAACAAGAAGGUUUAGAAAAGUUUCAAAUUCUGAUAUAAGACAGCAAAUCGGAAGAUAUUGUAAAAAUGCUCCAUCGC